GCGGAGUGAGGGGAAGGAGCGGCGGGAAGAGGUAGGGGGAGAACGUGGGGCGGAAUGAUUGGGCGUAAGGCGCGCGGAGGCGGUAGUGUAAGUCGGAGGGGAAAGCCCACGGGUGAACCGGUGAGGGUCAUUUGAAACGGGGGGACUUGAGGGCAGAAGAGGAAAGCGGAAGUCCACGUGUAGCGGUGAAAUGCGUAGAGAUGUGGAGGAACACCAGUGGCGAAGGCGGCUUUCUGGUCUGUAACUGACGCUGAGGCGCGAAAGCGUGGGGAGCAAACAGGAUUAGAUACCCGUGUAGUC
rnacentral:rRNA from 1 species